rnacentral:rRNA from 1 species
GGCAGAACGCAGGCGGCGUGCUAACACAUCCAAGUCGAACGCUGAAGCCCCAGCAUGCAGGGGGGAUGAGUGGCGAACGGGUGAGUAACACAAGAGUAACCUGCCCCCUUCUUUGGGAUAACCCCGGAAACGGGUGUUAAUACAGGAUAUUCACUCAUCUUCGCAUGGGGGUUGGUGGAAAGGUUUUUUCUGGUGGGGGAUGGGCUCGCGGCCUAUCAGCUCAUUGCUGGGGUGAUGGCCUACCAAGGCUUUGACGGAUAGACGGCCUGAGAGGGUGACCGGUCACAUUGGGACUGAGAUACGGCCCAGACUCCUACGGGAGGCAGCAGUGGGGAAUAUUGCACAAUGGGCGAAAGCCUGAUGCAGCGACGCCGCGUGAGGGAUGACGGCCUUCGGGUUGUAAACCUCUUUCGCUCAUGGUCAAGCCGCAGCUUUGGGUUGUGGUGAGGGUAGUGGGUAAAGAAGCGCCGGCUAACUACGUGCCAGCAGCCGCGGUAAUACGUAGGGCGCGAGCGUUGUCCGGAAUUAUUGGGCGUAAAGGGCUUGUAGGCGGUUGGUCGCGUCUGCCGUGAAAUCCUCUGGCUUAACUGGGGGCGUGCGGUGGGUACGGGCUGACUUGAGUGCGGUAGGGGGGACUGGAACUCCUGGUGUAGCGGUGGAAUGCGCAGAUAUCAGGAAGAACACCGGUGGCGAAGGCGGGUCUCUGGGCCGUUACUGACGCUGAGGAGCGAAAGCGUGGGGAGCGAACAGG